rnacentral:rRNA from 1 species
UACGGAGGGUGCAAGCGUUAAUCGGAAUUACUGGGCGUAAAGGGUGCGUAGGCGGUUGUUUAAGUCUGUCGUGAAAUCCCCGGGCUCAACCUGGGAAUGGCGAUGGUGACUGCAAGGCUAGAGUUUGGCAGAGGGGGGUAGAAUUCCACGUGUAGCAGUGAAAUGCGUAGAUAUGUGGAGGAACACCGAUGGCGAAGGCAGCCCCCUGGGUCAAAACUGACGCUCAUGCACGAAAGCGUGGGGAGCAAACAGG